UACGUAGGGGGCAAGCGUUGUCCGGAUUUACUGGGCGUAAAGGGCGCGUAGGCGGGCAUUCAAGUCAGGGGUGAAAUCCCCCAGCUCAACUGGGGAACUGCCUUUGAUACUGGGUGCCUCGAGUAAGGUAGGGGCAUGCGGAACUGAUGGUGGAGCGGUGAAAUGUGUUGAUAUCAUCAGGAACUCCGGUGGCGAAGGCGGCAUGCUGGACCUUCACUGACGCUGAGGCGCGAAAGCUAGGGGAGCGAACGGG
rnacentral:rRNA from 1 species